UACGGAGGGUGCAAGCGUUAUCCGGAUUCACUGGGUUUAAAGGGUGCGUAGGGAGGGCAGGUAAGUCAGUGGUGAAAUCUCCGGGCUUAACUCGGAAACUGCCGGUUGAUACUAUCAGUCUUGAAUAUUGUGGAGGUUAGCGGAAUAUGUCAUGUAGCGGUGAAAUGCUUAGAUAUGACAUAGAACACCAAUUGCGAAGGCAGCUGGCUACGCAUAUAUUGACACUGAGGCACGAAAGCGUGGGGAUCAAACAGG
rnacentral:rRNA from 1 species